CGGCCUCCCAAAGUGCUGGGAUUACAGGCAUGAGCCACCGCACCUGGAGAAAAUCUUUAAGCUUUUUAUGUGAUUUCUACAGUUUAAAAGCUUACUGGAAAUCAGGAGAGCACAAAACAGCCUCGGCUUCACCAUGUGUGUAAGGAGCUGUUUCCAGUCCUCCUGUCUCCAGUGGGCGUGGAGGACAGCCUUCCUGAAACACAUCCAGCGCAGGCACCAGGGGUCCCACCGAUGGACGCACCUUGGAGGCAGCACCUAUAGAGCAGUGAUUUUCGACAUGGGCGGAGUUCUCAUUCCUUCUCCCGGGAGAGUCGCUGCGGAGAAAUGACUACCAUACU